rnacentral:rRNA from 1 species
AUUGAACGCUGGCGGCAGGCCUAACACAUGCAAGUCGAACGGUAACAGGAAGAAGCUUGCUUCUUUGCUGACGAGUGGCGGACGGGUGAGUCAUGUCUGGGAAACUGCCUGAUGGAGGGGGAUAACUACUGGAAACGGUAGCUAAUACCGCAUAACGUCGCAAGACCAAAGAGGGGGACCUUCGGGCCUCUUGCCAUCGGAUGUGCCCAGAUGGGAUUAGCUAGUAGGUGGGGUAACGGCUCACCUAGGCGACGAUCCCUAGCUGGUCUGAGAGGAUGACCAGCCACACUGGAACUGAGACACGGUCCAGACUCCUACGGGAGGCAGCAGUGGGGAAUAUUGCACAAUGGGCGCAAGCCUGAUGCAGCUAUGCCGCGUGUAUGAAGAAGGCCUUCGGGUUGUAAAGUACUUUCAGCGGGGAGGAAGGGAGUAAAGUUAAUACCUUUGCUCAUUGACGUUACCCGCAGAAGAAGCACCGGCUAACUCCGUG